GAGUUGCGAACGGGUGAGUAACGCGUAGGUAACCUGCCUUGUAGCGGGGGAUAACUAUUGGAAACGAUAGCUAAUACCGCAUAACAAUGGAUGACACAUGUCAUUUAUUUGAAAGGGGCAAUUGCUCCACUACAAGAUGGACCUGCGUUGUAUUAGCUAGUAGGUGAGGUAAUGGCUCACCUAGGCGACGAUACAUAGCCGACCUGAGAGGGUGAUCGGCCACACUGGGACUGAGACACGGCCCAGACUCCUACGGGAGGCAGCAGUAGGGAAUCUUCGGCAAUGGGGGCAACCCUGACCGAGCAACGCCGCGUGAGUGAAGAAGGUUUUCGGAUCGUAAAGCUCUGUUGUAAGUCAAGAACGGGUGUGAGAGUGGAAAGUUCACACUGUGACGGUAGCUUACCAGAAAGGGACGGCUAACUACGUGCCAGCAGCCGCGGUAAUACGUAGGUCCCGAGCGUUGUCCGGAUUUAUUGGGCGUAAAGCGAGCGCAGGCGGUUUGAUAAGUCUGAAGUUAAAGGCUGUGGCUCAACCAUAGUUCGCUUUGGAAACUGUCAAACUUGAGUGCAGAAGGGGAGAGUGGAAUUCCAUGUGUAGCGGUGAAAUGCGUAGAUAUAUGGAGGAACACCGGUGGCGAAAGCGGCUCUCUGGUCUGUAACUGACGCUGAGGCUCGAAAGCGUGGGGAGCGAACAGGAUUAGAUACCCUGGUAGUCCACGCCGUAAACGAUGAGUGCUAGGUGUUGGAUCCUUUCCGGGAUUCAGUGCCGCAGCUAACGCAUUAAGCACUCCGCCUGGGGAGUACGACCGCAAGGUUGAAACUCAAAGGAAUUGACGGGGGCCCGCACAAGCGGUGGAGCAUGUGGUUUAAUUCGAAGCAACGCGAAGAACCUUACCAGGUCUUGACAUCCCGAUGCUAUUUCUAGAGAUAGAAAGUUACUUCGGUACAUCGGUGACAGGUGGUGCAUGGUUGUCGUCAGCUCGUGUCGUGAGAUGUUGGGUUAAGUCCCGCAACGAGCGCAACCCCUAUUGUUAGUUGCCAUCAUUCAGUUGGGCACUCUAGCGAGACUGCCGGUAAUAAACCGGAGGAAGGUGGGGAUGACGUCAAAUCAUCAUGCCCCUUAUGACCUGGGCUACACACGUGCUACAAUGGUUGGUACAACGAGUUGCGAGUCGGUGACGGCGAGCUAAUCUCUUAAAGCCAAUCUCAGUUCGGAUUGUAGGCUGCAACUCGCCUACAUGAAGUCGGAAUCGCUAGUAAUCGCGGAUCAGCACGCCGCGGUGAAUACGUUCCCGGGCCUUGUACACACCGCCCGUCACACCACGAGAGUUUGUAA
rnacentral:rRNA from 1 species